GAUGAACGCUGGCGGCGUGCCUAAUACAUGCAAGUCGAGCGAACGGACGAGAAGCUUGCUUCUCUGAUGUUAGCGGCGGACGGGUGAGUAACACGUGGAUAACCUACCUAUAAGACUGGGAUAACUUCGGGAAACCGUAGCUAAUACCGGAUAAUAUUUUGAACCGCAUGGUUCAAAAGUGAAAGACGGUCUUGCUGUCACUUAUAGAUGGAUCCGCGCUGCAUUAGCUAGUUGGUAAGGUAACGGCUUACCAAGGCAACGAUGCAUAGCCGACCUGAGAGGGUGAUCGGCCACACUGGAACUGAGACACGGUCCAGACUCCUACGGGAGGCAGCAGUAGGGAAUCUUCCGCAAUGGGCGAAAGCCUGACGGAGCAACGCCGCGUGAGUGAUGAAGGUCUUCGGAUCGUAAAACUCUGUUAUUAGGGAAGAACAUAUGUGUAAGUAACUGUGCACAUCUUGACGGUACCUAAUCAGAAAGCCACGGCUAACUACGUGCCAGCAGCCGCGGUAAUACGUAGGUGGCAAGCGUUAUCCGGAAUUAUUGGGCGUAAAGCGCGCGUAGGCGGUUUUUUAAGUCUGAUGUGAAAGCCCACGGCUCACCGUGGAGGGUCAUUGGAAACUGGAAAACUUGAGUGCAGAAGAGGAAAGUGGAAUUCCAUGUGUAGCGGUGAAAUGCGCAGAGAUAUGGAGGAACACCAGUGGCGAAGGCGACUUUCUGGUCUGUAACUGACGCUGAUGUGCGAAAGCGUGGGGAUCAAACAGGAUUAGAUACCCUGGUAGUCCACGCCGUAAACGAUGAGUGCUAAGUGUUAGGGGGUUUCCGCCCCUUAGUGCUGCAGCUAACGCAUUAAGCACUCCGCCUGGGGAGUACGACCGCAAGGUUGAAACUCAAAGGAAUUGACGGGGACCCGCACAAGCGGUGGAGCAUGUGGUUUAAUUCGAAGCAACGCGAAGAACCUUACCAAAUCUUGACAUCCUUUGACAACUCUAGAGAUAGAGCCUUCCCCUUCGGGGGACAAAGUGACAGGUGGUGCAUGGUUGUCGUCAGCUCGUGUCGUGAGAUGUUGGGUUAAGUCCCGCAACGAGCGCAACCCUUAAGCUUAGUUGCCAUCAUUAGGUUGGGCACUCUAAGUUGACUGCCGGUGACAAACCGGAGGAAGGUGGGGAUGACGUCAAAUCAUCAUGCCCCUUAUGAUUUGGGCUACACACGUGCUACAAUGGACAAUACAAAGGGCAGCGAAACCGCGAGGUCAAGCAAAUCCCAUAAAGUUGUUCUCAGUUCGGAUUGUAGUCUGCAACUCGACUACAUGAAGCUGGAAUCGCUAGUAAUCGUAGAUCAGCAUGCUACGGUGAAUACGUUCCCGGGUCU
rnacentral:rRNA from 1 species